rnacentral:tRNA from 1 species
GGGAAGUUGGGUGAAUGGUUAAACCAGCAGACUGUAAAUCCGCCGCUCUUCGGAGUAUCUAGGUUCGAGUCCUAGGCUUCCCACCA